rnacentral:miRNA from 1 species
UGGGGUGUGGAAUGAAUCCUU